UAUGUGUCCUCCUGCCACAACCUGAGGGACAGCCAGUGAAAAGUGCAAAGUAAUGUCCAUAAUAUUUCCCAACUUGUUUUGUUUUGUCUUUCAUACCAGGUCAUGUGUCUUCUCAGUCAUGUUGACACUGGUCUACUACCAGGUCAUGUGUCUUCUCAGUCAGGUUGACACUGGUCUACUACCAGGUCAUGUGUCUUCUCAGUCAUGUUGACACUGGUCUACUACCAGGUCAUGUGUCUUCUCAGUCAUGUUGACACUGGUCUACUACCAGGUCAUGUGUCUUCUCAGUCAGGUUGACACUGGUCUACUACCAGGUCAUGUGUCUUCUCAGUCAGGUUGACACUGGUCUACUACCAGGUCAUGUGUCUUCUCAGUCAUGUUGACACUGGUCUACUACCAGGGCAUGUGUCUUCUCAGUCAUGUUGACACUGGUCUACUACCAGGUCAUGUGUCUUCUCAGUCAGGUUGACACUGGUCUACUACCAGGUCAUGUGUCUUCUCAGUCAGGUUGACACUGGUCUACUACCAGGUCAUGUGUCUUCUCAGUCAUGUUGACACUGGUCUACUACCAGGUCAUGUGUCUUCUCAGUCAGGUUGACACUGGUCUACUACCAGGUCAUGUGUCUUCUCAGUCAUGUUGACACUGGUCUACUACCAGGUCAUGUGUCUUCUCAGUCAUGUUGACACUGGUCUACUACCAGGUCAUGUGUCUUCUCAGACAUGUUGA